AAAAAUAAUUUUUUGUUCAUUUAUGCCAUACCUUGUUUUAAAAAAUUCUUACAGGCCAGGCAUGUUGGCUCACACCUGUAUUCCUAGCACUUUGGGAAGCCAAGGCUGGAGGAUUGCCUGCGCUUAGGAGUUCCAUAUGAGCCUGGACAACAUGGCAGAAUCACAUCUCUACAAAAAAAUACAACUACUAGCUGGGUGUGGUGUUGUGCACCUGUAGUCUCAGCUACCUGGGAGGCUGAGGCAGGAGGAUUGCUUGAGCCUGGGAAGAUGAGGCUGCAGUGAGCCAUGUUCAUGCCACUGGUACUCUAGCCUGGGUGACAAAGCAAGACCCUCUCUCAAAACAAAAACAAGAACUCCAAAGAUUUGAUUACAGGGACCCCAUGGGUCCUCUUGGGUUCCUGGAGUGCACUGGGGUGUCUGUGGGUCCCCUUUACCUGCAGGCACAGUCUUGACAGUUUCUGCAUACGCGUUUCACAUACACUUUUUGCAGGGACAGUUUCGGGCUUCAUCCAAUUCUCAGGCAAAUUGAGACCCAAGUGGGUUUUAACAACACUGAUGUAGGGUAAUGAUUUACAAUAUUUUUGGAUCAUGGACCCCCCAACAGUUGAAAAUUGAGCACACAGCUGUAUGUUUGUGUGUCCCAAAAUGCAAUUGUGUGUGACUGUAUGAAUAGUUCAGACAUAUUAUAAAACAUAUAUAAGGAUAACAGUACACAUAAACCUGUCCUCCAUUGAAAUAUUUUGGGUACACGCUCUUUGAAGAACGUUGAUCAAGGUCUUACUAGGGUAAGAGUCUUUUUCUGAUUGAGCACGACACACACAUUUGUAUUCCCUAGAAUACCCUAGAGUGAGGGUCCUCUAUGGGAUUUUGUAUUACAAGGUUUCAAGCUGUGUUGUGCUGAAGUAUCAACAAUCUGUACAAGAGGGCUUGUGGAAAUAAGGAAGGACUUAGCAAAGUAAAUUCUUAAUAAAUUAUUAGCAGAUCUGAAAAUUAUUUGGUUAAAAAAAAUUAUUUGGUAUUUGGGACUUAAUACUGUUUAUUGUAGAAGAUAAAAUGAAGCUGAAUUUUAAGUCAGUUGAUGUUCUUUGAGGAAAUGGAAAGUACUUUGAAUUUUAAAAAAUCCUUACUGAAUGGAAAUAAUCAGAGCACGCAGCACUAAAUGGCAUCGAAAUCUCAAUUACUGUUACAAACUUUAUGAAAUGAGUUAACUCUGAUUUUUCUCAUUGUUUAUUGAAAUCAGUUUUUAAAAAGGCUAAAUCUGAUUUCAUUGUAUUUCUAGGGUGAUAAAAGAAAACGUGGCUGAAGUUACAUGAAGUGCAGCUAGCAGUGUAAUUCAGGAGUUAAGACCAGAAGUACUGGAAUCCUACCUCCUUUCAGGUCAAAACAUUUUGUGGGAAAUAUCCUGUUCGUGACCUGGAAGAAACAAGACAGAAAACAAAUCUUACCUCACUUACGAAUUUCUUACUCCAUACAAGCAGUUCAUGGAUGUCUGGGCAAUCAUAGCACUUUCCAUUUAAAAACAUGCUACAGGGGCACAUUUUCUGUGGUUAAAAAUGAUCUCUGGAAUAAUUGUAAACUGCAGUUUUCCUUUUUAUCGAGGGUUUUGGCUUUUUAUUUAUAAAUUAAAUCAAGAUGUUACCAACUCCUUGGUGUGGUGGUCUUGCCGGCUCACGCUGGGGCUCACGCUGGAAGGUAGUAUGGCAGCAAUGCUCAAAUUCAAAAUAGCCAGCAAAUCCCUCCUUUCAGUGCUCUGACUGGGAACCAUUAGAGGGUUUUUAAAAACCAUCCCUCAUAGCCCACAAUUUUGGGUUAACUCUCAAAGUUGGGAAUAAGCAAACUGGCAUUGUUGGGAGAAAAAUCGUUUUUACUGAAGCAUGAACUGGCUCAGGCAAGCAAAUAGCGGGAGUUGGCACAGGAAGGCGAGCGUGCUGUGGGGAUGCGUGGAGGCGUCACCUUCAAAACUAAAGUGGAGCCAGGAGGACGGAUGCGUCCUUGAUCUUGUUCCCAUUUGACUGAAUUGUGAACCACUUCACUGUCUUCACAGUCUUGCCACUUACCUAAUGAGGCUUUUCUGAACCUAGAAGGAGACGUCUAGAAAUCCCAGCUUUGCUAUGUAAGGACCAUUAGCUGCAAGUCGGUGGAAGUCUAUAGAAAGCAGUGUGAAUUCCAUAGUGGUCUUGACUUAGCAAGGAUUUGGGACAAGUCUAAAACUUCAGACUUAAAGCUUUGACACGUUAACUGCAUAAAAUAUUGAACACUUUGAACUUCUUUA